UACGAAGGGGGCUAGCGUUGUUCGGAUUUACUGGGCGUAAAGCGCACGUAGGCAGAUCGUUAAGUCGGGGGUGAAAUCCUGGAGCUCAACUCCAGAACUGCCUUCGAUACUGGCGAUCUUGAGUCCGGAAGAGGUGAGUGGAACUCCUAGUGUAGAGGUGGAAUUCGUAGAUAUUAGGAAGAACACCAGUGGCGAAGGCGGCUCACUGGUCCGGUACUGACGCUGAGGUGCGAAAGCGUGGGGAGCAAACAGG
rnacentral:rRNA from 1 species